UGAAGACCGGGCCUGCCUUUUCCCAACCCCAGUCUCCGCCUUCCUCACUCAGCCUGCCACCUCGCGAAACCGAAGAUUUCUUGCCCGUCGCAAGGUCCAGGAGAUUGACCGCGUGGGUCCAAUCCCCAAUCCGAGGCAGCUGAUCAACGACAGCCGCAAGAGCCGGAGGACGACGGUUCUUGAAAUCCCUAUUUACGUUUAAUCCUUAGAUUCGAUACGACACCAACUGAAUCUCGUUUGCAGAUAAAAUAUGUGGAUACGGUUGCAUCGCGAAUAUCCAAGAACUGCGAUCUUUGUCGUAAUCUUCAAGAACUAUGGUCUUCGUUUGCAUUAUGUCUUGAUAAAUUGCCUUUCUUUUCUUUUUCUGGAUUAUAAUGGAUGGUUUUACUGCUUGAUAACAUUGUUUAUCCCCCCCCUUUUUUUUACUGGAUUUCUCUUUUCUGCAGCUUCUUGCCUUCAGAACUGGUGGAUGCGAUCUGAAAGUCGAAAGAGCGCUGUGUUUAUAUCUACAGGAGGAAUGAGAUCGAUAGUAAGUUCAUAAUGUUUGUUUUGGUUUAUUUUCAUAGCAAGAAUUCAGUUCCUUUCUGAAUAUUAAACGUAGCGCAUGUCUUAUAUGCUUUCUUCUCUAGAGCAAAUUUUUCAUCUGUCACCAACUCACCAUCCGAUUGUUCCAUAAUCUAAUCCUUCUCCCGGUAGUUAUGACUUAUUUAUUUAUUUAUUUUUCCAUUUUACCCGUGAAUGGUUGAGAAUAACAUGGUCGAGACAUGUUUUCAAGUAGAUAUCGAGGCACCAAAUCACCAACCAGCUACUGAGUUAAGGUUGAGAGUGUCGAGCAAAAUAAAUCCUCUUUCUUUAUUCUUUGGCUUAAACCAACGAUUAGAAGUUCAAACAGCUAUUAUCACGAACGAAUCUCAAGCAUUCUAACUCAAGAGUUGAAAAUGCUUGCCUCUUUGGAUCAAAGAUCCGAAUUCCUUCUUAGUUUAAACAAUUAAAUGACCGUCCCUCUCCUUUCAUAUUCAUGACAUCACGGCUUAAGGGAUCAGUGUUUGUUGCUCUUUACCCAAUUUGGUCUACUUUAUUCUCAUGCUUGUGUUGGAAGACAAAAGAUUGCCCAAGAACCCAAGAAAGUGAGGCUCCAACCAAGUUGAGAUCUUCUUAAUGGUCACAUUGUCAUUAAGAGGCCUCCGACCAACUGGAGAUAUCAUACUCAAGUUCGAUUAUUCCACAAACACAAUCCAAUUUUGAGAUUACCUUCUCUAACAAGAAAUAUGAAUAAAAAUUUACAUAAGAAGAGAUUAAAAGAGGAUGGAGCUCAAAAACAGGAGUAUUUUUUUAAGUACAAUAGGGUGAGGAAUGUAUGCAAGCUGCUUUAUGAUAAGUCCCAAAUAAUGCUUCCACAAUUAUUUGUAAUGUACUAAAGGUAUGCUGUCCGUAUAUUUUUU
rnacentral:lncRNA from 1 species